rnacentral:rRNA from 1 species
GAUCCUGGUCAGGACGAACGCUGGCGGCGCGCCUAACACAUGCAAGUCGAACGAGCGAGAGAGAGUUUGCUUUCUCAAGCGAGUGGCGAACGGGUGAGUAACGCGUGAGGAACCUGCCUCAAAGAGGGGGACAACAGUUGGAAACGACUGCUAAUACCGCAUAAGCCCACGACCCGGCAUCGGGUAGAGGGAAAGGAGCAAUCCGCUUUGAGGUGGCCUCGCGUCCGAUUAGCUAGUUGGUGAGGUAA